GACGAACGCUGGCGGCGUGCUUAACACAUGCAAGUCGAACGGAAAGGCCCUGCUUUUGUGGGGUGCUCGAGUGGCGAACGGGUGAGUAACACGUGAGUAACCUGCCCUUGACUUUGGGAUAACUUCAGGAAACUGGGGCUAAUACCGGAUAGGAGCUCCUGCUGCAUGGUGGGGGUUGGAAAGUUUCGGCGGUUGGGGCUGGACUCGCGGCUUAUCAGCUUGUUGGUGGGGUAGUGGCUUACCAAGGCUUUGACGGGUAGCCGGCCUGAGAGGGUGACCGGCCACAUUGGGACUGCGAUACGGCCCAGACUCCUACGGGAGGCAGCAGUGGGGAAUAUUGCGCAAUGGGCGGAAGCCUGAUGCAGCAACGCCGCGUGCGGGAUGACGGCCUUCGGGUUGUAAACCGCUUUCGCCUGUGACGAAGCGUGAGUGACGGUAAUGGGUAAAGAAGCACCGGCUAACUACGUG
rnacentral:rRNA from 1 species